AAUCUUCUCUUCUGCCUAGCUGGUCCAACACAGAUAAUGUUGAAAGCACUUCCAACACGGUCGCUAGCAUGGUUGAUGAUAAAAAGUAUACCUUCUGUCCUCAUUUGAAGAAUUUUGUAACUUUGAUCUUUUUCUAUAUGAAUUGGAUGGACAGCAUUGAAAAAAAUGUGCUCUGCCGAAGAAGCAUGUUUGUCCCUAAAAUGUGCAUAUACGUUUGUUGAGGUACCUAAGAAGUCACAGCCAUGGGAAGGACAGAAACAAGGCACAUAGAUGCAUGCAUUUUCAUGGUCAGUUUUCUUACUAUAACUCAGGAUCUCCUUGCAACCAUACAUUUUGUUCACGCAUGAGACCUUCACAGAUUCUAGAACCUUCUCCAGAG
rnacentral:misc_RNA from 1 species